UACGAAGGGGGCUAGCGUUGCUCGGAAUCACUGGGCGUAAAGCGCACGUAGGCGGAUUGCUAAGUCAGGGGUGAAAUCCUGGAGCUCAACUCCAGAACUGCCUUUGAUACUGGCGAUCUCGAGUCCGGGAGAGGUGAGUGGAACUGCGAGUGUAGAGGUGAAAUUCGAUAGAUAUUCGCAAGAACACCAGUGGCGAAGGCGGCUCACUGGCCCGGUACUGACGCUGAGGUGGCGAAAGCGUGGGGAGCAAACAGG
rnacentral:rRNA from 1 species